rnacentral:rRNA from 1 species
GGCGGCAGGCCUAACACAUGCAAGUCGAGCGCCCCGCAAGGGGAGCGGCAGACGGGAGAGUAACACGUGGGAACGUACCCUUUGGUUCGGAACAACCCAGGGAAACUUGGGCUAAUACCGGAUAAGCCCUUACGGGGAAAGAUUUAUCGCCGAAGGAUCGGCCCGCGUCUGAUUAGCUAGUUGGUGGGGUAAUGGCCCACCAAGGCUACGAUCAGUAGCUGGUCUGAGAGGAUGAUCAGCCUCACUGGGACUGAGACACGGCCCAGACUCCUACGGGAGGCAGCAGUGGGGAAUAUUGGACAAUGGGCGCAAGCCUGAUCCAGCCAUGCCGCGUGGGUGAUGAAGGCCCUAGGGUUGUAAAGCCCUUUCGGCGGGGAAGAUAAUGACGGUACCCGCAGAAGAAGCCCCGGCUAACUUCGUGCCAGCAGCCGCGGUAAUACGAAGGGGGCUAGCGUUGCUCGGAAUCACUGGGCGUAAAGCGCACGUAGGCGGAUUGCUAAGUCAGGGGUGAAAUCCUGGAGCUCAACUCCA